rnacentral:rRNA from 1 species
AGUGAACGCUGGCGGUAGGCCUAACACAUGCAAGUCGAACGGCAGCACAGGAGAGCUUGCUCUCUGGGUGGCGAGUGGCGGACGGGUGAGGAAUACAUCGGAAUCUGCCCAGUCGUGGGGGAUAACGUAGGGAAACUUACGCUAAUACCGCAUACGACCUUCGGGUGAAAGAGGGGGAUCGCAAGACCUCUCUCGAUUGGAUGAGCCGAUGUCGGAUUAGCUAGUUGGCGGGGUAAUGGCCCACCAAGGCGACGAUCCGUAGCUGGUCUGAGAGGAUGAUCAGCCACACUGGAACUGAGACACGGUCCAGACUCCUACGGGAGGCAGCAGUGGGGAAUAUUGGACAAUGGGCGCAAGCCUGAUCCAGCCAUACCGCGUGGGUGAAGAAGGCCUUCGGGUUGUAAAGCCCUUUUGUUGGGAAAGAAAUCUUUCAGGCUAAUACCCUGGGAGGAUGACGGUACCCAAAGAAUAAGCACCGGCUAACUUCGUG